rnacentral:rRNA from 1 species
UACGAAGGGGGCUAGCGUUGCUCGGAAUCACUGGGCGUAAAGGGUGCGUAGGCGGGUCUUUAAGUCAGGGGUGAAAUCCUGGAGCUCAACUCCAGAACUGCCUUCGAUACUGGGAAGCUCGAGUCCGGGAGAGGUGAGUGGAACUGCGAGUGUAGAGGUGAAAUUCGUAGAUAUUCGCAAGAACACCAGUGGCGAAGGCGGCUCACUGGCCCGGUACUGACGCUGAGGCGCGAAAGCGUGGGGAGCAAACAGG